rnacentral:rRNA from 1 species
UACGUGGGGGCCGAGCGUUGUCCGGAGUUAUUGGGCGUAAAGCGCGCGCAGGCGGCCUCGCGCGCCCGACGUGAAAGCCCCCGGCUUAACCGGGGAGGGUCGUUGGGGACGGCGGGGCUUGAGGGCGGGAGAGGUCGGUGGAAUUCCCGGUGUAGUGGUGAAAUGCGUAGAGAUCGGGAGGAACACCUGUGGCGAAGGCGGCCGACUGGGCCGACCCUGACGCUGAGGCGCGAAGGCGUGGGGAGCGAACGGGG